rnacentral:rRNA from 1 species
GACGAACCGUGCAAACGUUGUUCGGAUUCACUGGGCUUAAAGGGCGCGUAGGCGGGUGGUCAAGUCAGGGGUGAAAUCUUUCAGCUUAACUGGAAAAUAGCUUCUGAUACUGACUGUCUUGAGUGGGGUAGGGGCAUGUGGAACUUCCGGUGGAGCGGUGAAAUGCGUAGAUAUCGGAAGGAACGCCGGUGGCGAAAGCGACGUGCUGGACCCUUUCUGACGCUGAGGCGCGAAAGCCAGGGGAGCAAACGGG